CACUGCCUGCCCAGUGACAUACGUUAAACGGCCGCGGUACUCUGACCGUGCAAAGGUAGCAUAAUCAUUUGUUCCUUAAUUAGGGACUUGUAUGAACGGCCACACGAGGGUCUAACUGUCUCUUUCUUCCAAUCAGUGAAAUUGACCUCCCCGUGAAGAGGCGGGGAUAAACCUAUAAGACGAGAAGACCCUAUGGAGCUUAAAUUAAUUAGUUCAGCCACAAAACACAUACCCUACGGGGCCACCCAACAGUUUAAUGAACUAACAAUUUUGGUUGGGGUGACCUCGGAGAACAAAAAAACCUCCGAAUGAUACUAUAACCCAGACUUAACCAGUCGAAGUCCAUAAAUCACUUAUUGACCCAAUUAUUGAUCAACGGAACAAGUUACCCUAGGGAUAACAGCGCAAUCCUAUUUUAGAGUCCAUAUCGACAAUAGGGUUUACGACCUCGAUGUUGGAUCAGGACAUCCCAAUGGUGCAGCAGCUAUUAAAGGUUCGUUUGUUCAACGAUUAAAGUCCUACGUGAUCUGAGUUCAGACCGGA
rnacentral:rRNA from 1 species